rnacentral:lncRNA from 10 species
CGUCAUAAGAAUAAUCACUUGUCAGGGUAGCUGCGGGCAUCCCAUUCGUUCCUUUCAUCAGCGCCGGGCAUAUGGGGCGUCAGAGGCUGAGAACGUUGCCGUGAAGAGGCUUAAAAGCAAGACCCGGAGUGGCGACCUUAAAGAGGACGGACUGAAGAAACGCGGGAAUGAGCUCCAGACGCGGGAGUUUCCUCUCUACAAAGUUACACUGCAGCAGCUGUCUACCCUGCCCCUUGUCUUUUGAGAAGUUCAAACCUUCAGAAAAGUUGCAAGAACACGACAUGCGAAAAGAACCACAAUUAACACUGAAGAUGUGAAGCUCUUAGCCAGGAGGAGUAAUUCACUGCUAAAAUACAUCACAGACAAAAGUGAAGAGAUUGCUCAGAUUAACCUAGAACGAAAAGCACAGAAGAAAAAGAAGUCAGAGGAUGGAAGCAAAAAUUCAAGGCAGCCAGCAGAGGCUGGAGUGGUGGAAAGUGAGAAUUAAAGUCCCUCGCCGCUUGGAAAGUGCAGCCUUCUACAGGUAGAGCCACCUAGAAAUGCAUAUGGCUGCAAAGGAAACUUUGAAGGGUUAAAUAGAGAUU